rnacentral:sRNA from 1 species
UUUUAGCCCUGAUAAAAGUGGAAAUCCUGUCAUUGCUUCUUCCUCGCAAUGACAGAUUGUAACGAAUAGCAGGAAAUAGC